AGCAGGGCAUCACCUGAUGUGUGGAGCAGGCAUGGCCACCUGGAAAGAUUCACUGAGACCAGUGCACGCAUCACCAAGCAAACAGGAAGGGGACUUUCAAAAUUCCCAAGGAAUUUAAGGGGUGGGGCUGAUGGUUGGUCACCUGAGGGCAGGGCAGUAGAGUUCAAACCGAGGACCAGAGAGGUGAGAACAGGCAUUGUGGGACACCUCCCAGAGGACCACUGCAGCGCUGUAAUUGACCACGAUGUCUGCCCUAGCACCGCAGCGCUGUAGCCCCGGCGCAGAAAGCUGUACACCUCUUGUUGGGUUGUUUUUUUUUUUUUUUAAAGCACUACAACUGCGCAGUUUCUGUGCACUAAGUGGUUUGGCAGUGUGUAAAGCUUGGGAGUUAUAGCGCAGAAAGCUGCUUUACUGCUCAGAAACUUGCCAGUGUAGUCAGGGCCCCAAGAGCUAGGGAUUCUGCCUUAUACCACUUCCCAAAGAUCAGUGGCAACUUGUCAACUCCCUCUCUCCACUGCUCAAGCAAAAGCAGAAAAAGAAUGAAAGGUGAUAAGCCUCCAGGAAUACAGAACUUAACACCUAUAUGGGAGGUGAUAACUGCCCUAUAACAAAAAGAUUAUCACAGUGGAAUCCAAUCUAUGAAUAGACUGAAGCUUCACUUGUAUGUACUGUAUUAUGAAAGGUUUCAGAGUAGCAGCCAUGUUAGUCUGUUUCUGCAAAAAGAUGAAGUGAGCUGUAGCUCAAGAAAGCUUAUGCUCAAAUAAAUUUGUUAGCCUCUAAGGUGCCACAAGUACUCCUUUUCUUUUUGUCUAUUAUGAAAGUUAUCCAUUUUUGAGAAGAGGUGAACCAGUUCAGCUGCACCCAUCAUUGAUACCACCAACCACCAAUUUUUGUAAUACAGACAUAACUUAAGAGAAUACAUGGUUUUCUGGGUUCUUCUGUUUUCCAAAUUAACGUUCAUGAAAUUAAAAUUUAAUUUCUGUCCUUAGGAGAAAUUUUGCAGCUUAUGAGACUUCUCUCUGCUAUGCUAUCCAAAAGAAACGUUUUACCUAUUUCAUUGUGCAAACAGAAGUACUUUGGGAAUCCUACUUUGCCACACAACAUGGGGCUUGAAAUGAAUGCAGGCUAUCUGGGAAAAAUGCCAGAUGUCAGUUAAAAGAUCUCUUAUUAGCCUGCAAGUAAAGCACACACAAAUAUUUGCCAGCAUGGUUUUGUACUAAAGGGUUAUAAAACUAGAAGGGUUUAGGACAUUUACAAUCCCAAGAGGUCCACAUACCAGUAGAAAAGCUAUUAGCUGGAAACUUAACAGAAAAACAAAAAGAAAAGGAGUACUUGUGGCACCUUAGAGACUAACUAAUUUAUUAGAGCAUAAGCUUUCAUGAGCUACAGCUCACUUCAUCGGAUGCAUUUGGUGGAAAACAAAAAGAAAAACAGUUUCACAGGCCCCAUCCAUACUGAGGAUUUUGGGGGAUUUCUAACUGGUUAGGUCCUCAGAAUACACAAAGAAAGUGAAACUUUUCCUACCAUAUAUGCUACCCUUCCAGAUUUCUGAUUCAAGAAUCUUACAAGCAUUUUAACAUGAAACAGACAAGUAGAAUGAGCAAGUAUUUUUGUAGUUAAAGGGAGGGAGGGAGGGAGAGUCGGGCAUUAGACUGAGUCAAAUACUGAAUUCUGUUCGCAGCUCUGCCAAUGACUCACUUGUGACUUUACGAAGUUACAACCUUGCUAUGACUCAGAUUUCCCAACUGUGAAGUGGCAAUCAUGCUUAUAACUUUUGUGAAGCACUCUGAUAACUACGGAUCAAGUUGUUACUCAUCUGUAAGGCUGCCAAUCUUUCAUGGAGGUCACGGAAGUCACGGAUUUCGUGACUUUCUGGGAUUUCUGCAGAAACUAUGCCCCCCUGGAACAGCAGUGGCAAGGUCCCAGGCCUCUUCCCACCUCCAGAAGCGGCACCGUCCGCUCGAGUGCGUGCACGCACAUGCGCACACACUCUCCUCCAUAGCAGGUAAGAGAUAGUUAAGGGAAUUUUUAGUAAAAGUCAUGGACAGGUCACUGGCCAUGACUUUUUGGUUAUUGCCCGUAAUGUGUCCGUGACUUUUACUAAAAAUACCCAUGACUAGACCAUAGCCUUACUCAUCUGUUAUAGAUAGAGCUCAUAGCACCACUUAUUAGUUAAGGUUGCCCGAUACGUUCCACUGAAUAAUUAAGUUAGACAAACAAUUCAGACUGAAGUUUUCCAUGCCAAGUAUCUGCCUCAAGCUGAUUUGGGUGGUCCCCCCUCCCAAUUUUGAACAAAAAUGAUCCAGCCAUUUCUGAAAAAGAAGUUAAGGAAAAAAUGUUGUUUUGUCCACGUUUAAAAAAAAAAAAAUCACCACAACCAUUUAAUUGAGAAGCUGUAGUACCUCCAUGACUUAGGAGCAGGGAAUUUAAAUUUGGCAAUGGAGGGUGGGGGGCUCACCCUGGGACCAGGGGUGUGCUUUUUUGUCAUUCAUGUGAAAAACUGCCCAAGUUUGGCCCUGUUACAAGCUCUUAAAAACAAACAAACAAACAAACAAAAACCUGUUUGGACAUGCUCAGUAAUAUCUUGUUAGGGUUUGGCAGCUAUAUUUUCUUAAUUUUUCUGGCAUCAGGGAUGCUCCAUAAACCAGAGCUACAAGGUUGAGCAGGACUUUCCUUGCAAUUGCUCCUCCUGGCAGCCAGGGCCACUGUGAUGCUAGGCACUAGAACAGUGAAAGGAGAUUCUUUCUUCAUUUGCUCUCAAUGUUCUUCCCCUCCGCAUUUGAGUCAAGACUGGGACUCAGCAGAGGGAAACUUGGACAAGGACCCUGGAUGCAGGGUGGACUGGGAUUAGGUAAGCAAGGAAGGCGGAGUUCUGUGGGGAAAAAAAUAAUAGAUGAUCAUGUAAUUAAAGUCUAUCAAAGUCUACUAUAACGCAAAUGCACAUGAAGAUCAAAUUAAAGUUGCACAGGCAAUCAUAAUUCUGUUUUUUCUUAGCUUUAAAGUGCUUGAUUUUGCAACCUUAACAUUCUUUUGAUGUAGUUUUUUAAUGUAACUUUUAGCAUCUGAUGACUCGGACCACAGAGAAAUGGAGUCAAACUCUGGAAAGUCGCUUUUUGAGAACAAGUGAAUAGCUUAUUUUAAAACCACUAGGCUUUACAUAAUCAGUCAAGUUGAAACUGGUUAAAAAAAAAGAGAUCUAACAACUCGAGAACUUGCAAAAAGGAGCCCCAAACAUGUACACAGUGUCACUGUUGGUGUUGUCUUUAGGUCACGUACUAUCAAUUGAAGUGACUGCGAAGCGUCCACUGUCAGGAAAGCUUUAGCCAAACUGAAAUUGAGCAGAGAUCCUGUGAACUCUAUCGUCACUGUUGAUGCAAGGAACGACUUCUCAUAGUUCACCAGUAGUCCCAAGUAGGAGAACAGAGAGAGGAUACAAUCUAAGCCUGUUCCAGUCUCCUCCCAGGAGGUGCCUCUGAUCAGCUACUAGUUCAGAUAUCACCAAAUUUGGAUUCCCUAAGGAAUCCCUGUGAAUUCCUUAGGUGAGCCACUAUUAUGCCCAGACAAUUGGUGAAAACUUCUCAGUGUCAUGAAGAGUCUGAAGGGCAGAACUCUGUAUCAGUAAUGGUUUGGCUCCACUCUGGACAUUAGGUACCUCCUGUGGGCUGGAUGGAUAGCUAUACGGAAGUACACAUCCUGCAAGCUAAGCACUACAAACAAGUCUUGAGCUUGGAGUGACAGAACGACCGAGUCAAGCGUUACCAUUCUGAACCUGAGACUGCAUAUGUAUUUGUUGAGUCUACUCAGGCCUAAGAUAGGAUGAAGAUCUCCCUUUUUAUUUUCAGAAUGAGGAAAUAUAAGAAAAAGAAGCUUCUUCCCUAAAAUUCCUGAAGAACCUGCUCUACGGCUCCUAUUAAAACCAAUGAGACUACUUUUGUUAGUAAUAGGCUCGUGAGAAGGGUCCUUGAAGAGGAAUGGUGAUGGGAAUAGGAAGUAGUGAGUGCAACUGGAGGGGGUAGCCUUGGGCAAUAAUCUCCAACACCCGUCUAUCUGAUGUUACAGCAGACCAUGCCUGAUGGAAUGGGGUGAUGUGGCUUCUGAAUGUUGAGAUCCAUGGACUCAUUCUCAUGCAGCUCAUGACCACCUCAUCAAUUCUGCGAUGAGUCAUCACAACUGGUCAAGGAAGGCUGUCACUCCCUAUUGUACCUCAGACAUUUCCUGCCAUAGUACUUGUCUGUCUGUAGUAAGGUGAGGCACCCUGUCUGCUGUAGCAUGGUUGAGGGUGGUAUGCCUUUGAUAGGGCAGGUGAGUAUAAAUUCCCAAGGAGCAUGAUGUCUCCUUGGAAUCUUUCAAGUGAGUGUAGGGUGCUAUCGGUCCAUCUGCUGAACAGUUCCAAGCCCUCAGAGAGCAAGUCCUGACAUGUGGCUGGUACCCCAUGAGGAAUGACUGAAGGUUGGAGCCACCAGACUCUCUGCACUGUCACCUCCAUGGCCAUAGAUCAGGCUGUGGUGUGUAUCGCUGCCUGCAAGCACAUCAUGGCCACUAGUCAGCCUUCCUUUAUGAAGUCUUUCAGGUUCCUCUCUGCUUUCAUGAGGGAGGUUUGCCACAAAGGGCAUUACCAUGUUCCCCAUGAAGAUGCAGUUGGCCAGCAGCACCUGGCAGUUGGCCACUUAAGUGGUGUAAAGCCAAAGAGAGCACCUUUCUUCCAAAUGCUUCUACAUUUGGGAUCCUGGUCUUGGUAGAUUUUGACUUCUGAUGUCUAACAUGACUAGGGAACCAAGGUUAGGAUGGGCGCAAGCGUAUUCUAACCAUGAGGGUCUCUGAUACCAUUUCAACCAUUUGGUUGAACCAUUGGUGUUAUAGUAACCUUGUGGCUAGCCCUUGCCAGAUCUAGGCAAUCCCAACAGGACCAGCAGCCAACAAAAUGUCAAACAGUUUGUGAGAUUUUUCAGAGAUGACUGAAGUCUCAAUGUCCAAGGUGUCUGAAAUCCAUACCACGAGCUCCUGAAAAGCCUUGAAAUCACCUAGUGCUGGUGUCAAUGCUACCGCUUUGUUCAGGGAAGAUAAAAAGAGGUCCUUAGGCAGUGAGAGUGAUCAUUCAGUUUCUGAAUCUCACCCCUCUGUAUUUUGGUGACAAAGAUCUUGCCAGCCAAGACACAACAGAGGCAGACUUCUUCUGUGAAUGAGGGCACUGACUCCUAGAGGCCUGGGAAAGUGGGCCCCAAUAAUCCUAGUAGGGCCACUGUGGCACUCCAUACAUGUACAGAUAGUCAGCACUGAACCAGUGUUAAUCCCAACAGGCCACUGGUCAAGGUCUGGAUAGAUCCUUGGUUCUCUCAGCUCUAAUGCUUGAAGUCUUCAAUGGAGUAGGUCCAUGCUGGACCCCAAUGAAAAGGUGUGUACCGAGGAUGGCAACAAGUACACCUCCUUUGUAAUGCGAUGCCUGUUGGUAAAAUGUUUUCCAUGCCAAGGAUUACAUCAGUGCUGGUUUGUGACUCUUCCAGGAGUGGUUCCAGUGUGCUUCAAGUCUGUCCUGCUGGUGCCAGAGUCGACAUCAAUAGGAAUACUUCUGGUACCUGGCCCAGUGCCAGUGGGGUCUGCUGUGCUGCAGUCUGCUCCUUUCCACACAUCUUUGAUGCCAUGAGAGACUUGGGUGACAUAUCUCUGUGUUUUUCUGCAUCUCUACAAGUGGACACUGAGAUCCUGAACCAGUGAUUGGGGCAGCUCUUUUCAACACUUGCUUUGAUGUCCGAGUUGUCAGUUUCAACGCUAGGGGAAGUACCAGGGCCAAUCUGCCUUCUAUGCUGUGUCAUUUACCUCCUGGAUAAAGUGCUAGAAGAUGCGGGCUAGACCAUAAGAGGGGUCUUUGAAUUUGAUUUUUGUGGAUCUAAUGCUACUGUCAUAGACUGUUCCAGAAGAUGGAGCUUUAGUCUCAUACCUCUCAACUUCUGCCUCACCUGUCUGGAAUGUGGAACUCUCCCAAGCAGAAUAGGCAUCCAGCGCCCCUCUCUUUCAGGAAAAUUAUUCCAUCAUAGAAUGGCCCAGGCUUAAAGCCUGCAGGUUUUGAGUUGACCAUUUCUCAAUCCUCCUACAGGGAGGGUUGUACAGUGGGGUCCAUUCAGCAACUUUUGGCUCAACAAGUGCUAGAACAGACUGCAGUGAUUAAAAUCAAAGAAUGAAGGUAGUUCUGAGGAGUCUCAGAAGAUUUUAAGUCAUUUAACCAAAGCUAAAAUCUAGCAGGUUGGACACCAGGUAGGUUCCAUCUCACUACCUUGGGCAGUAAGAGAUGGAACUGAGGGAGAGUUGUGGCCGCCUCGCCCCUUAUGCCUUUGUACAGGAACAAGAGGAGGCAUAAGUAAGGUUAAGGUUUUGUCACGGACAUUUUUAGUAGAAGUCAGGGACUGGUCAUGGGCAAUAAUGAAAAAUUCACAGAGGCCCGUGACCUGUCCCUGACUUUUACU